rnacentral:lncRNA from 1 species
CAGGGUUGGUACUCACGGUUCCUUUAAGGGCAUCCACUUCACAGGUGAGGGACUGCACCUGUCUCCGGUACUCAGUGGACUCCUGCUUUGCCUGGCGCAGGGCGUCAUUGUUCCGGUUGGCAGCCUCAGAGAGGUUCUUGGCAGCCACACUUUCAUAUUGCUGACGUACGUCACGCAGGGCAGCCGUGAGGUCAGGCUUGGAAACAUCCACAUCGAUUUGGACAUGCUGUUCCUGAAUCUGAGCCUGCAGCUCCUGGAUUUCCUGCAAAAAGAACAGACAGACGGUCAGCUCUGCCAACCGUGGGGGCUGCCUUACCCUCAUUCAUUCCCCGAAAGUCACUCCACUAACCUCUUCGUGGAGUUUCUUCAAAAAGGCAAUCUCUUCUUGCAAAGAUUCCACUUUGCGUUCAAGGUCAAGACGUGCCAGAGACGCAUUGUCAACAUCCUAUUUUGAACAGAGAAAAGACAGGACAUGGAGGAUGUAAAAGUGUAUGGCUUAUCUCAUUUAUUUGUCUUAGAUUAACCAUCUGAACCUAGUCUCCUUACUAUAGAAAAGCCGUUGACACAUUUUAUGACCCUGGAAUAGGUUUAUAAAUCAUUCAGUGCUAUAAUAUGCUGUGCUUUCUCCUGCUCACUAAUAUAUUUUAAUUGUGACUGCUUGUGUUUUACUCAAGGUGGUGAUCAGACAAUUUUAAAAUAAAUAAAU